rnacentral:rRNA from 1 species
UCCCCUCCGUCGAAAGCCUAAGGUUUCCUGAGGAAGGCUCGUCCGCUCAGGGUAAGUCGGGACCUAAGCCGAGGCCGAAAGGCGUAGGCGAUGGCAAACAGGUUGAAAUUCCUGUACCACCACGUCACCAUUUGAGCAAUGGGGGGACGCAGGAAGGUAGGGUAAGCGCGGCGAUGGAAUGCCGCGUCCAAGCAGUUAGGCUGACAAGUAGGCAAAUCCGCUUGUCAUAAAGGCUGAGCUGUGAUGGCGAGGGAAAUAUUAGUACCGAAGUUCCUGAUCCUACACUGCCAAGAAAAGCCUCUAGCGAGGUGACUGGUGCCCGUACCGCAAACCGACACAGGUAGGCGGGAAGAGAAUUCUAAGACGCGCGGGAGAACUCUCGUUAAGGAACUCGGCAAAAUGACCCCGUAACUUCGGGAGAAGGGGUGCUCUAUUAGGGUUUACGCCCGAGAGAGCCGCAGUGAAUAGGCCCAAGCGACUGUUUAUCAAAAACACAGGUCUCUGCUAAGCCGCAAGGCGACGUAUAGGGGCUGACACCUGCCCGGUGCUGGAAGGUUAAGAGGAGGGGUUAUCCUUUUUGGAGAAGCUCUGAAUUGAAGCCCCAGUAAACGGCGGCCGUAACUAUAACGGUCCUAAGGUAGCGAAAUUCCUUGUCGGGUAAGUUCCGACCCGCACGAAAGGUGUAACGAUUUGGGCACUGUCUCAACGAGAGACCCGGUGAAAUUAUAUUACCUGUGAAGAUGCAGGUUACCUGCGACAGGACGGAAAGACCCCAUGGAGCUUUACUGUAGCUUGAUAUUGGAUUUUGGUACAGCUUGUACAGGAUAGGUAGGAGCCUUGGAAGCCGGAGCGCCAGCUUCGGUGGAGGCGUUGGUGGGAUACUACCCUGGCUGUACUGAAAUUCUAACCUCGAACCGUGAUCCGGUUCAGGGACAGUGUCAGGUGGGCAGUUUGACUGGGGCGGUCGCCUCCUAAAAAGUAACGGAGGCGCCCAAAGGUUCCCUCAGAAUGGUUGGAAAUCAUUCGCAGAGUGCAAAGGCAUAAGGGAGCUUGACUGCGAGACAUACAGGUCGAGCAGGGACGAAAGUCGGGCUUAGUGAUCCGGCGGCACCGUAUGGAAGGGCCGUCGCUCAACGGAUAAAAGCUACCCUGGGGAUAACAGGCUAAUCUCCCCCAAGAGUCCACAUCGACGGGGAGGUUUGGCACCUCGAUGUCGGCUCGUCGCAUCCUGGGGCUGAAGUAGGUCCCAAGGGUUGGGCUGUUCGCCCAUUAAAGCGGCACGCGAGCUGGGUUCAGAACGUCGUGAGACAGUUCGGUCCCUAUCCGUCGCAGGCGUAGGAAAUUUGAGAGGAGCUGUCCUUAGUACGAGAGGACCGGGAUGGACACACCGCUGGUGUACCAGUUGUUCCGCCAGGAGCAUCGCUGGGUAGCUACGUGUGGAAGGGAUAAGUGCUGAAAGCAUCUAAGCAUGAAGCCCCCCUCAAGAUGAGAUUUCCCAUCACGUAAGUGAGUAAGAUCCCUCAGAGAUGAUGAGGUUGAUAGGUCUCGUGUG